rnacentral:rRNA from 1 species
AUUGAACGCUGGCGGCAUGCCUAACACAUGCAAGUCGAACGAUACCAGGAAGCCUCUUGCUGCUUCGCUGACGAGUGGCGGGCGAGUGACCAAUGUCUGUGAAACUGCCUGAUGGAGGGGGUUAACUACUGGAAACGGUACCUAAUACCGCAUAACUUUCCCAGACCAAAGAGCGGGACCUUAGGGCCCCUUUCCAUCGGAUGUGCCCAUAUGGGAUUAGCUAGUAGGUGGGGUGACGGGUUACCUAGGCGACGAUCCCUAGCUGGUCUGAGAGGGUGACCAGCCAGACUGGAACUGAGACACGGUCCAGACUCCUACGGGAGGAAGCAGUGGAGAAUAUUGCGCAAUGGGCGAAAGCCUGAUGGAGCAAAGCCGCGUGUAUGAUGAAGGACUUCGGGUUGUAAAGUACUGUCAGCGGGGAGGAAGGAAGUAAAGUUUACACCGGUGCUUAUUGACGGUACCGGCAGAAGAAGCCCCGGCUAACUCCGUG